GAUGAACGCUGGCGGCGUGCCUAAUACAUGCAAGUCGAGCGAACAGACGAGGAGCUUGCUCCUCUGACGUUAGCGGCGGACGGGUGAGUAACACGUGGAUAACCUACCUAUAAGACUGGGAUAACUUCGGGAAACCGGAGCUAAUACCGGAUAAUAUAUUGAACCGCAUGGUUCAAUAGUGAAAGACGGUUUUGCUGUCACUUAUAGAUGGAUCCGCGCCGCAUUAGCUAGUUGGUAAGGUAACGGCUUACCAAGGCAACGAUGCGUAGCCGACCUGAGAGGGUGAGCGGCCACACUGGAACUGAGACACGGUCCAGACUCCUACGGGAGGCAGCAGUAGGGAAUCUUCCGCAAUGGGCGAAAGCCUGACGGAGCAACGCCGCGUGAGUGGUGAAGGUCUUCGGAUCGUAAAACUCUGUUAUUAGGGAAGAACAAAUGUGUAAGUAACUAUGCACGUCUUGACGGUACCUAAUCAGAAAGCCACGGCUAACUACGUG
rnacentral:rRNA from 1 species